GGGAGGGGAGAGAGAGAAGGGGGGAGGAGGGCGCACAAUAAGGAGAGAAGGAAAUAACAAGGGAAAAAAAAAUAUACCUGGUUCGAUUUUGAAACCUACCAGCAGCAAGCAGCAGUCAAUCUUCUGUUCUUCUCAAUCUUAUUCUUUUUUUCUUUUCCUUUGGACAGCCGACAGUAAGAGAGGAAAAAACCUUCAUUUAUUUUGUGCUAUGUUAUUUAAAGUUUGAUUUGGUGUGGGUGGGAGGUUGAGAGCACAUAUGAUUAUGUAAGAAUAAAAAAAAAAAAUGAGGAGUGGAAUCUGGCUGAGGUGUACCUUUUGGUGCAACUUGCACCUGGUAGGUACAGGGCUUGUGCCUUAGGCGAUCGGGCACCUGGCUGAUGAUGCCUGCCUUUUACCAUUAAUGUCGUUGAGGCUGUGCAUGGUUGUGCCUUUAAAAACGGUGGAUGGGAGUAUCAAUUGCUGAUAUAGGCUAGAGAUCAAUGUGUUGGGAGUUGGGAAUUGAUUCCAUGACUGAUCAUGAUUGUGAAUGUCUUUUGAAGCCAUGUUAUAAUGCGUAGUCAGAGUUAGGUUGGGAAUAGAGAUUCACUACUUCAGUAAAAAACUAUGAGUAAUUAAAUAUUAUGCUUGCAAUAGUGAAUUGAUAUAAUGGCAUGACACUGAACUGGUGUAACAUGAAUAAUAGCAUGGUUACUAACAAAGAUAGGGUUGCAGUAUUUUAUCUUUUGAAAAAACCUUUGUAUGAUUGUAUGUCUGAAAGGGAGAAGUGCUUUUACUCAUGGUCGUGAAAGUUUCAUGUUAGCUAGUGGCUUUUUCGGUGGUGGAGGUGUGGACUGGUUAUUAAUUGUGUGAUACUGGUAAUUGGUUGCUUGUCAACUGAAAAUUAGACACUGCAUGCGCAAGUAGGAACAUGGGUUUUUCUUUUUCCUUUUUUUUUGGAAUAUUAAGAAUAACACUUUGGUGGCUUUGUUGUGUAAUUUUCAAUUUGGUGCCUUCAAACUUUUUGUUUUCUAUAUUCAAUGGAGUUGCAAUCAAUGUCAUGUUAAAUUAGGAAAUGUGCAGUUGGUUUUAAGCUAUUCCUUUC
rnacentral:misc_RNA from 1 species